GUCUUUAAGAAAAUUAAUUUAAAGUCUAAUCUGCCCACUGAAAUUUUAAAUGGCUGCAGUUAAUACUGUACAAAGGUAGCAUAAUAAUUUGUUUUUUAAUUAAAAACUUGAAUGAAAGAUUAAAUGAAAUAUAAACUGUUUCAAUUUAAUUGAUUUUUAAUUUUUUAUUUAAGUAAAAAAACUUAAAUAAAAUUUAAAGACGACAAGACCCUAUAGAAUUUUAUUUAUUUUUUAUUUUUUAAUAAAAAAUAAAUUUUAUUGGGGUAAUAAAAAAAUUUUAUUAAUUUUUUUUUUAUUAAACAUUAAUAAAUGAUUUAAUUAUAUCUUAAAUUAUAAAUUAAAAAAAUUAAUUACCUUAGGGAUAACAGCAUAAUUUUUUUUAAAAGAUCUUAUUAACAAAAAAGAUUAU
rnacentral:rRNA from 1 species